GAUGAACGCUGGCGGCGUGCCUAAUACAUGCAAGUCGAGCGAACCGAGGACGGGUGAGUAACACGUGGCUGACCUCCUAUGAGACUGGGGUCACUUAGGGAGACCGGAGCUCGAUCGUGUACUUAUAGAUGGAUCCGGGCUGCAUUAGCUAGGGGGUACGGUAACGGCUUACCAAGGCAACGAUGCAUAGCCGACCAGAGAGGAGGAUCGGCCACACUGGAACUGAGACACGGUCCAGACUCCUACGGGAGGCAGCAGUAGGGAAUCUUGCGCAAUGGGCGAAAGCCUGACGGAGCAAUGCCGCGUGUGUGAUGAAGGUCUUCGGAUCGUAAAACUCUGUUAUUAGGGAGGCGGUACCUAAUCAGAAAGCCACGGCUAACUACGUGCCAGCAGCCGCGGUAAUAC
rnacentral:rRNA from 1 species